CUUGCCUCUCUCCCUUAUCCCCUUUCCUUUCUUUCUUUCUUUCUUUCUUUCUCGUUCGUUCGUCUUUCUCCCCGUCCAUUCUCACGAGACAGAGCUCCAACACCGGGAGGUUACCACCGCCAGCACCGAGCCGGAGUGGAGGCAGACGCGGCUGGCGGCGCCGGAGACGACGAGGACAGAUCGAGCCGGAGGAAGGCUCCGCGGCGGAGCGUACUCCGGCACAAAAUGGUAUGGAGUAGCCAGGAAUUGAAUCACUCAACUCCAUACACAUGAAUUUCAGAAGGGCUAUAUCUUUACUAUUGAAGCCUCAAGCUUAGAAAGCUCUUGUCUACAACUGAUGGUCAUGUCCUCAUAUAGAAAUAGGAGCUCACAACAAGUGCUGAUUCCAAAGCAAGAACAACGGAAAUCAAGUCAAGACGGAGAAACUUUUCUGCCAGCCAACAUAGACUCCGUCUUCAAUUACAAACAGGGGGAAGAGUGCAAGAGCUAUACUGCCCAUAAUUGGAUGGAAUUGGAGCAGGAGCCAGGGAGGAUGUGAGGUUACCGAUGAGAAGACCGCCGCCAGAUCGCGCGAGUUGUAACCUGCCUCCCGGUUGCCGCUGGAAGAGAAAGACGAAGCAAAUAUAUUUCAUCAUGUCUGCAACUUUUCCAGUUCCGCUCUUUGUUAGUUUUAUAAGAUCUGUAAAACAUUCAGUUUACAACUUUAAAUAUUGUGAACAAAUAACGGCGCUUUUGCCUCACGGUAUCGUAGUCUUCAUAUAUUAGCUUCCUAAAUGACAAGGAAAUCAAUCAGGUAAGGUUCCAUCUCUCCCAUUCUUUGGGUGUUGCAGUUGACAAUGUCGCAUCCCUUCCUCAGGGGCAAGGUGAGUCAUCUUUAUCCUCUUUCUAACGCCAACAAUGUUCUUAUUUGUUUGGUUUUAGUAUGUUGAAUAUUUGAGAUUUUGAGUCUAGUGACUGGUUAGUUUCUGGAGCGAUUGAGCUAUAUAUAGAGUUUCUUGGUGAAUAUUUUACAUGGAGUGUGGUACAUUGAUAGAUAGAGAUGGAAAGCAGAAAGUUGGAUUUUAUUUCUGUUGAAGCUCUGCUACGGAUGACCAACAUUUUAUAGUUGGUGUGCUUCAGCCCCUUCCCAAUUUAAAGUGACAACCAACCAUGGUACAUUUUAUGGCCAGGGCCUAGGGGUGAAGUAUUUGAUUAGUUUCUUCAUAGACUGAACUAUAUAUUCAGUAUUACUUGGUGCACAUGAAUUUUUUAUUAUGUAGCUACCAAAUAAAAUUACAGUGUCUUAUGAGGGUAUCAUGUUGCAGCACAGAAAGGUGUUGAAAAUGACAGAACCCAUUACAGAUGCAAAGUAUACUAUAUACUACUACAGGGUUUUCACAUUAUAGUAUCCAUCUGCAGUAUGGAGAUUGUCUUCUCCAUUUAUUUUUCUUUCUUUGUGUUUCUGCAUUCAGCAUGCCAUUGCAUUUUAUGCUAAUGUUUUUUUUGCAAGUUUGGCCAAGGGUAACCAUUUGGUCUUUGUGUGUAUACAUCAGGAAUGGCUACUGUUACCUAAACUACCUCAGCCAAGAGGUCAGUGUUCCUUUUUUUUAGGCCAUAAGGCCCCCGUGGGGGUUAGAGUUGUUCAUUGAUUACUUUCACAAGAAACAUUACAGUUCUUGGUCCCAUAAUGAAUAGUAGAUAGGAUGGUAGGCUUAACAGGAGUGUUGUUCAAAUUUGUACAUUGAAAGGUAUAGGUAGGCCAUGUAAUCAUUCUCGAUUUUUUUCUAAGCAUCAGCUUCAUAGUUUAUAUGUAUUUGGACACGUUUGAGAAUGAAGCUUCUGCUUCUGCUUCUUGCAUUUUGCUUGAUAAGCAAUAGAGUAGGCCUUAUCUGUUGCUCUAUAUUUCCAAUCGUGUUGUCUUGAGAUUUGAAAGCUUGGCUGGUAGUUAUAUUGCAACAUAGUCUAAUAGCUGAAUCAUGCUUGUAAUAAAAGUACCAAGAAGGAGACCAUGAGCUCAAGCAUCAGCUAAGAAGAACAGGAACAGUGGCCAGAGUUCUCAGCGUGCCCAUGAAAAAAGGGAGUUCACCUAUAUAAUAUAGGGGACAAUAAGCAUCAGAGAAGGAGAAAGUAGAGUUUAUUGCCGCUGUCUUUGUCAUCGAAGGAAUGUAUUCCCUUGUGAGCAUUCAAACCGUGCAAUAAAAAGUUUUGUUUUGUAGGAGCUCCCUUUUUUCCAGUGUAAACAUCAGUUUGUGUGCACUAUGCAACAUUAGCAAAGUAAACAGGGACAUCUUUUGGUUCUUAAAUUUCAAAACAUGCUUUUUUAAUACAAUUUGCCAUGGGAUAUAGUUUGCGGUACCAGGUUGUCUGGUCAGCAGUCCUUUUGAGUCCAUAGUGUAUGGAGUUAUUUCCUUUUACAUACUUCCUCCCAUUGUGGCUGUGUGUAUCACAUAAUCAUGGUUCUCUUUUACAUAGGCUUGCAAAAAAUCUAGGAAAAAAUGACAUGUCGGAUUCGAAUGUCAAGGUAACACCAUACGAAGUUUGUCCAAUGUAUUUGGCGUUGUUACUUUUGAAUGCUUCAAUGCAGAGGCUGGUGUAAGGGGCCUUGGAAGAAGCUGAUUUGAUGGCUUAACUGUUGAUGCUUUGAGGAACUGGGUGUACCAAAAUGUCCACAUGAAGCUUUGUCAACAAAGUUGUGUUAUUAGUCAAGUUAACAUGAAGUUUCUAUGAACAACCAACAUUUGUGGAUGGUUAUUAGCACCUGAGAGUUUGAACAUUAAUUGGCAAAAUAUAUAGAUGGGUUCUCUGAAUUCUGCAUUGUGCGAGAGCAGCUAUUUCCUUAAGGCCUCCUGCCCGAGAGUAGUUGCGGCCUCCUGAUCAACUAAUGCUGGUGCUGCAGGGAGUUUAGUUAAUGUGGGAAGUGCCUUCACAGCUGAACCCAGGGCAAUGUUGCAUGCAGUUCGUCAUGUAAGUUUGCUGGGCAUGGAAUUUUUUAUCCCGGAGAUCUGCCUUGAUGUUGUAACUAGCAAUGUUGUGACUACGUAGACAUGAAGUGUGUCGACAUCUUCCCUUUAGUUUGUUCUUUUGUAACAGCUAGAGGUUUGUCUAUGUGCCUACGUAAAUGGAAUCUUUCUUCCCUAAAACCGUGGCCGA